AUUCCUGUCACACUAUCUCCGCUGGUGUCACAUUUAGAUCCGCUUCAUUAAAAUCACUCUAGAUUAAAUAACACGAGUUUCCAAUGGUGCUUUUACGGUUAUAGUGGCAGAUUAACACUAUUUCUACACUAUUAACGUAAAAAACACCAUUGAAACCGUGUAUAGUUAUCUCUGUGGCCUCGAGAAAUAGUGUGUUAUAUUUUUAAGGACGAGGAGGAGGACGAGGAGGAAGAGGAGGAAGAGGAAGAGGAGGAGGAAGAAGAGGAAGAGGUUUGGGUGUGUUUUGAUAAGAAGGAAAGAGGAAGAUGACGAAAAGUGCAUACGGAAGCAGGGCAAGCAGUAGUAACAGCAGAACCGGAAGCAGUAGAAGCGAGGUCAGAGGAGGAGGAGGAGGAGGAGGAGGAGGAGGAGGAGGAGGAGGACAGAGUGUUUGGGAGGUGGCAGUGACGGAAGGAAGGAAGAGGAGAGCUGGCUUGGCUUCUAAUGGUGAAAAGGCGCCCAGGGAAGCCACGGUGCUUCUUGUAGGUACUAGAGGCUCGGGCAAGACAACAUUACUUCAAAGGUUCCUGGACAGAGAGGAGACAGCCAGACAGACGCUCGCCUUGGAGUACACCUACGGAAGGAAGACUGGCAGGACACUGGUGAAGGAUGUAUGUCACUUAUGGGAGUUAGGCGGCGGGUCUCUCUUCACGCCCCUUCUAGCCACGCCUAUCACGCCCAGAGCUCUCCCACGCCUCUCCCUCGCUCUCACUGUCGACCUCUCCCGCCCCUCCACACUCUGGACUGACCUUCUCUCCCUCAUCGCUGCUCUAAAGGAAGAAGUAGAAAGAGCUGCCUCUGACACGCCAGGAAUGAGAGAGAGUUUGGAGGCCGCAGCAAAGAAGAGAUUAGAGAUAGGAGGAAAUACUGUGGACUCAGAGGUGACGCCCUUCCUCGUGCCCUUGGUCAUUAUAGGCGGCAAGUAUGAUAUUUUCCAAGAUUUUGACCCGGAGGAAAAAAACUCAUUUGUAGAGUCCUGAGGUUCGUGGCACACACACACGGGGCAUCUCUGCAGUUCUUCUCAGCACGUGACCCUGGGCUGGUGAAGAAAGCAAAGGAGGUUCUGAGUCACCUAGCAUUUGGGACGGCAGAAAGCCGGAGUCUAGCUCAGGACUACAACAAACCACUAAUAAUCCCAGCUGGAAGUGACUCGCUGGCCACAAUUAACCUGAACGAACCUCUUAACCUGGACAGCUGGGGACACAAAUUCACCGCCAAGUACCCGCAGGAAAGAGAGGAGGGGGGGUCAGCCAUGCCAGAAGAUCCAGGCCGUGACCCAACAUAUGCCGAGACUGACGUGGAUAACCUAAGAGCACAGAAAGAUGAGGAGCUGGAGAGAAUUAGGAGAGAGGUUGGGAGGAACAAUGCAAGAUGGGCUGACCUCGAGCUGGCCUGAGCAAGAAGAAGAAGAAGAAGAAGAAGAAGAAGAAGAAGAA